rnacentral:lncRNA from 1 species
AGCCGUCACCAAACACAAUAUCACCAUUUUCGCACCCAAAAACGAAGCUCUUGAACGCGAUUUAGAUCCCGAGUUCAAACGUUUCUUGCUUGAACCUGGGAAUCUCAAAUCCCUUCAAAAGCUUCUCCUCUUUCACAUGAUUCCCACUCGCAUUCAGUCCCUCCAUUGGCCUAAAACUGAGCUCAAACCCCGCCAUCACUCCACUCUCUGCCCCGGAGACGAGCGUAUCUCUGUUUUAAGAAAAUCUGGAGAUAGAAUGGUAAGCAUGGCGAAAGUUAUUCGUGCAGAUGAUAUUAUCAAACCGGACGGAAUAAUCCAUGGGAUAGAACGCGUCUUGAUACCCAAAUCAGUGCAACAAGAUUUCAAUACGAGAAGAAGCCUUCGUUCAAUUUCAGCUGUAUUACCAGAAGGAGCACCAGAAGUGGACCCAAGAACAAACAGAUUGAAAAAAAAGCCAACAAUCCCAGUACCCGCUGGAGCACCACCGGUAUUACCCAUUUACUCAGCCAUGGCACCAGGCCCAUCACUAGCUCCAGCACCAGCUCCAGGACCAGGUGGACCCCACCACCACUUCGACGGUGAAAGCCAAGUAAAAGAUUUCAUCCAAACUCUAUUGCAUUACGGUGGUUACAAUGAAUUAGCCGACAUUCUCGUAAAUCUCACUUCCUUAGCUACGGAAAUGGGGAGAUUAGUGUCCGAAGGGUACGUUUUAACUGUUUUAGCACCUAACGAUGAAGCGAUGGCGAAAUUAACGACGGAUCAGCUGUCCGAACCGGGUGCGCCGGAGCAGAUAAUGUAUUAUCAUUUGAUACCGGAGUAUCAAACGGAGGAAAGUAUGUAUAAUGCCGUGAGGAGAUUUGGGAAAGUGAAGUAUGAUACUUUAAGAUUGCCACAUAAAGUUGUUGCUGAAGAAGCUGACGGUUCUGUGAAAUUUGGGGAUGCUGAAGGGUCGGCGUAUUUGUUCGACCCGGAUAUUUACACCGACGGCAGGAUUUCCGUUCAGGGGAUUGACGGAGUUUUGUUUCCGGUUGAGGAAAUUAAGGCUGCUCCUGUAGCUGCUCCUGUUGCUAAAGUUGUUGCCAAACCAAGAAGAGGUAAUUGAUUUCUCAUUUUCUAAUCCAUUUUAAUUUUGUCAUAUUUUAAUUUUUUGGGAGUUUUGUUUUUUAUUACUACUUGAAUUAGUAUUCAUUUGAUUGGCUAGGUAAACUGAUAUCUAAUUAUGCAAGAAAAAUUGAAACAGAGCUGAGUGGUGUUCUUGAGUGUGUUGAUGAUGUUACUAGAUUCUUGAAAAUGGGUGAAAAUAGAGGAUUAUGUUAGUUCCUUUGUUUUAAUUUAAUUAUGAAAACGAUUUAUUGAUUAGGUAUUUUCAAAUUCUCCACAAAAAAUUGAAACAUCAACUGGUGGGUAUUUUUUUAAAAUUUGUUAAUGGACUUGUGAUUCUUGAAAUUGGAUGAAAAUAAGGUUUAAAUUGGUAAAGUAUUUUUGAAGGGGGGUUAUUUUGAUGUAAAAAUUUGGGUCUUUUUUAGAAGUGAUUGUGAUUUAGAACACAAAUUGGUGGUGGGUAGAAAGGGAAUCAUGGAAUUAUGGCUUUUUGUGAUGCCAGUUGUUGCCAACCUUUUUCUGAUGAAUUGUUGCACUUAGCAUCUACGCUAUGUUGUAUCCAACUUUUGGAAAUGGACUGAAGAUUAUGCAAAUUGACAAUUCAUCUUUUCUCAUAUAAUAAAUUUUCUUAAAAUAAAGUGGUAGACUUGUUUGUUUCUUUUGCAAGUUUUUUUUGUAUAAAUUAGGCAGUGUCCGUGAGUUAAGAGUUCAUUGUCAUCAUUUUCACUGAUUGUUACUUUUGGACUAAUUUCUUUUAUUAUAAGCCACAAAUAGUUAGGUAAUAGGCCUGCACGUUUUUUUGGAAAGUGACAAAUUGUUUAAGUAAUUAGUAGGUAAGAAAUUUUGUCGGUGAGCCAUAAGGAGAGAAAGAAUUAGUUCUUUGCUUGAUGAAUAGAUAUCCUAAAACCAUUUGAUGGGGUUAGUUUUAGGUCAGGUACUUUUAGUAGUUGAAUUAUGAAACAGGAAAAUAGUGUGAGAAGGUGAAGGGGAAUUUUAGGCUUGGUCACACCAAAUUAUAAAGUACUAAUAAUAAAAGGCUAUGAUUGUUGCAAACAGUUAAUCACCAAGCCAAGUUUUUGGACCUUAAUCAUCAAGCCAAUUAGUAUCAUUUUUAAAUAAAUUUUAAAAUCUCUGAGGGCCAGCCGGCAAUCAGCUCAAGAUUUGGUGAGACUCGUUCUUCUAUCUUUUUUUCACUAAAGUACCAUACUUCUACUUGCUGGGUUUAAACUCGUGACUAAACUCGUGACGUGAGUCUAAUUCACCUACCAUUAUUACUACUCAACAAAAGUCUUGGGGCAAUAAGCCAACUGUUUUAGUGUCAAUGUAUUAUGUUAUGGGCAUUAUGUUGGAAUUCGAUGGCAUUACAGCUGUGUCUGUAUGCACUGAUUGUUCCAACUUGGUAUGUUGAGUCCAGAGGUUCCAGCCUAUCUGUUUGACUAAUUUCAUGCCCCCACCUGCUCUAUAUUUCACUUCCAUUAUAAGCUGUCAUGAUUUGUCAUUUUGUUGUAUCUUUUCUCUAAAUUCAUAUGGUUGACAUUAUUUUCAUUCCAUAUAUUUCUCAACUACUUUUAUAUAAUUAUAUUUUUAUGUAUCAAUUUCAUUUUCUCAUAUGAGUUGGCUAAAAUUGUAUUUGGUUUGCAGGAAAGUUGAUGGAAGUAGCAUGUAGUGUGCUGGGGUCAUUCUGUUAAUACAGUGAGGGACAGCUGAAGAUAAAGAGUUGAAAAAGAUGGUGAGUAUGCUGCCUAUGAUGUGUAUGAAUUGUGAUUCAGUUAGUCUACUAGACUAGAAUUGGAGGAAGAGAAAAGAAUAAAAGCUCCCAAAAAAAUUCUGAAUAAAUGGGAGUUUUUUUUAGGAAGGCCUUGUUGAUGAUUACAAAAAUAUUAGGGAAGGAGGAAAGGAGAAAUGCUUGCAAAUGAAGUAAAAUUCCAGAAAAUCCAUCUCCCACCACCCCCUUCCGAACCCCAAGGAUGAGAAGGGAUUUUUUUUUUUUUUUUUUUGUUAUAAAUACUGUAAAUUACAUAUCAAUUUUUUAUUUGUAUUUAAGUUUGUUCCUACCGACACUUUUGUAUGCAGAAAUAUACCCAAGGAUAAAAAAAAUCUGCAGGAACAUCGUCUUUUUGUUCCUUUUUAGUCACGGG